ensembl:lncRNA
GCCACAUCCACAGGGCUGGAGCUUUGGGCCUGAGACUCAGGACCUAAAGUUUCCUUUUAGAGUCGGUCCUGGGGAUGCACAUGUGGAUUAAAUUAGAGCAAUAUGUUUUUCUAACAGCAUCUUGGCUGAAAAGCCAAGCAGAUAAAUGGAAACAAACACAGCUUUAUGUGAAUGAAAAGGGGCUGACGAGGCAGCCACUUCUGCCUGAAGCGCCACAGCCAGCAGGGUUGCCCUCCUGGGGUCUCCCCCUCCUCCCGCUUCCCCCUCCAGCCCUGACCCUGGAAGCAUUCACCAGAGGGCUCCUCAAGGCCCCUCACCCAGCCUCUGCCCUGGCUGAACUGGCUUCCUGCCCAUCUCCAAACCCGAUUUGUGCUGCCCACUCUUGACCACAGUCAUCACCUAUGCUGUGCUCUCUGUGCAGUGUCUUAAGAAUCUGAAUUUAUAUUAAAAAUGUGAAAGUGCCAAACCUCAAAGCAAGUCCGUGGAGCCUAAAUAAGUGGAAUGGGAGUGGAGAAGAAACACGGAGGCGAGGUUGUGAUGUGGCGUGGCGCAGGAGGCCCUGUGGGCCUGCUCAUCUGGAAUUCUGCAGCGCGGUUGUGUGGGAUCACAACGCUUUCCGGCACUUGUUCAUAUCUUAUUGCCACGGGUGAGACGGGAAGCCAGCAGCAGCAUCCCACACAUUCAAAAGACCUGCAUUGCUGGUGGACGGCUUGGACCGGGUCUCUGUUGAGAAGUCCCAGUCAGGGGGAAGGGCUUAUCGCCCAGCAGGUCCCCCUUUUAUCUCCAUAAAGUGGGGACCCCCUGUCUCAGGGUCCUGCUAAGCACCUCCCUUUCUGGGGCAGUUUUUGUAGCUUGCUUUUCCACCAUCUCUCUCUCUAUAUAUAUAUAUAAAUGUAUAUCGUGGUGAUGCGUCCAGAUCUAGGUUAUUCAUUUUAAUUCCUGAAUAUAUUUCAUCAUAUGACUGUACUACAUUUUUUCAUUGGAAUAUAAUUGCUUUAUAAAGUGUUAGUUUCUGCUGUACAAUAACGUGAAUCAGCUGUGUGUAUACAUGUACUACAUUUUAUUUGUCCAUUGCUAAAUUAAUGAAAGUUUAGGAUAGUCCCGGUUUGGUGCUAAUAGACAAUGCUGCAGGUAACACAUUUUAGAUUUCCAUGUGCACCCAGCCUUGGGCACUCUGGGGAAUGUAGCUAAAAGCAGAACUUGCAGGUGAUGGGUUAGUGCAUCUUCGACUUGCUGAGUUCUUGCCCAAUUCACCUCCAAAUUCUGCCGUGAAGGUACAGUCCCACAGGGAACACAAAACCGGUCCCAUUUCCAACAUCCUUGCCAACAGCUGAUGUCAUCAGAAGAUUGUUACAUUUUGCCAUUCUUAUUUAUGUUGACCUAUUUAAUAGUAAGCUUGAAUAUCUUGUCACAUAUUUAUGGACUUCUUUUUUUCUCACCUAUGAUUUGCCUGAUGAUAUCCUGACGUUUCUAUUAGAUUAUUCAUAUUUUUCUUAUUUAUAACAGUUUGCUAAAUACUCUGGAUAUGAUUUUUGUUGUUGUUGUUAUAGGGGUUGUAAAUAUUUCCUCCAAGCUUGUGGACUGUGGGUUUUCUUUUGACUGGACUGUGGCUUUUUUUGUUUAUUUUGGUUUGGUUUUUAACAUUGCUAGUGGUGUCUUUUUGAUGUGCAGAACUUUAAAAUUUUAAUGUGGUAAAAGUCUCUCUUUCUUUUGUGGUUGGUAAUUUUUCUAUUUUAUUCAAAAAAUCCUUCUGUAACCUCAGUGACAUAAAAAUAUUUUCCUAUAUUUUUCUUAAUUCAAAUGGAUUGAGGCAUAAUUUACACACAAUAAAACGCACCCAUUUGAAGUAUAGUGCCUGCCGCAUUUUGACAAAUGUAUACGACCAUGUUGGAGAAGGCAAUGGCACCCCACUCCAGUACUCUUGCCUGGAAAAUCCCAUGGACAGAGGAGCCUGGAAGGCUGCAGUCCAUGGGGUCACUAAGAGUCGGACACGACUGAGUGACUUCAUUUUCACUUUUCACUUUCAUGCAUUGGAGAAGGAAAUGGCAACCCACUCCAGUGUUCUUGCC